rnacentral:rRNA from 1 species
UACAGAGGUCUCAAGCGUUGUUCGGAAUCACUGGGCGUAAAGGGUGCGUAGGUGGCGUGGCAAGUCAGAUGUGAAAGCCCAGGGCUCAACCCUGGGAUUGCAUCCGAUACUGCCAUGCUGGAGUACUGAAGAGGUGACUAGAAUUCUCGGUGUAGCAGUGAAAUGCGUAGAUAUCGAGAGGAAUACCAAAGGCGAAGGCAGGUCACUGGGCAGUUACUGACACUGAGGCACGAAGGCCAGGGGAGCAAACGGG